UACAGAGGGUGCGAGCGUUAAUCGGAAUUACUGGGCGUAAAGCGUGCGCAGACGGUUGCGUAAGUCAGAUGUGAAAGCCCCGGGCUCAACCUGGGAAUUGCAUUCGAGACUGUGUAGCUGGGGUGCGGAAGAGGGAAGCGGAAUUUCCGGUGUAGCGGUGAAAUGCGUAGAUAUCGGAAGGAACAUCAGUGGCGAAAGCGGCUUCCUGGUCCAGCACCGACGUUCAGGCACGAAAGCGUGGGGAGCGAACAGG
rnacentral:rRNA from 1 species